rnacentral:rRNA from 1 species
AACGAACGCUGGCGGCAUGCCUAACACAUGCAAGUCGAACGAGACCUUCGGGUUUCGUGGCGCAAGGGUUCGUAACGCGUUGGAACAUGCCCAUAGGACCGGCCUAAAUCCCUGAAAGGGGUGCUAAAACCGGCUAACAACUCCGGACCAAGGCUUUAUCCUCCUUGGCUGUGCCAGCGUUGGAUUAGCUAGGUGGUAGGGUAAAAGCCUACCAAGACGACGAUCAGUAGCUGGUCUGGGAGGAUGAGCAGCCACACGAGGACUGAGACACGGCCCAGACUCCUACAGGAGGCAGCAGUGGGUAAUAGUGGACAAUGGGCGAAAGGCUGAUGUAGCUAUGUCGCGUGAGUGAAGGAUGCCUUAGGGUAAUAAAGCUCUUUUAGCCGGGAUGAAAAUGACAGUACCGGGAGAAGAAGCGCCGGCUAACUCCGUG